rnacentral:rRNA from 1 species
AGAGUUUGAUCCUGGCUCAGGAUGAACGCUAGCUACAGGCUUAACACAUGCAAGUCGAGGGGCAGCAUGAACUAGCAAUAGUUUGAUGGCGACCGGCGCACUGGUGAGUAACACGUAUCCAACCUGCCAUUUACUCGGGUAUAGGCUUUCGAAAGAAAGAUUAAUCCCCGAUAGUAUGUAUAUCCCACAUGGGAUUUCCAUUAAAGAGAGCAAUUUUGGUAGAUGAUGGGGAUGCGUUCCAUUAGAUAGUUGGUAAGGUAACGGCUUACCAAGUCUUCGAUGGAUAGGGGUUCUGAGAGGAUUUCCCCCCACAUCGGUACUGAGACACGGUCCAAACUCCUACGGGAGGCAGCAGUGAGGAAUAUUGGUCAAUGGUCGAGAGACUGAACCAGCCAAAUAGCGUGAAGGAUGACGGUAUUAUGUAUUGUAAACUUCUUUUAUCGGGGAAUAAAGUGAGGGACGUGUCCCUUUUUGUAUGUACCCGAUGAAUAAGCAUCGGCUAACUCCGUGCCAGCAGCCGCGGUAAUACGGAGGAUGCGAGCGUUAUUCGGAUUUAUUGGGUUUAAAGGGUGCGUAGGCGGCUGAUUAAGUCAGCGGUGAAAUCUCGAUGCUUAACAUCGAAACUGCCGUUGAAACUGGUUAGCUUGAGUAUAAACGAGGCAGGCGGAAUUCGUAGUGUAGCGGUGAAAUGCAUAGAUAUUACGAAGAACUCCAAUAGCGUAGGCAGCUUGCCAGAUUAUAACUGACGCUCAGGCACGAAAGUGUGGGUAUCAAACAGGAUUAGAUACCCUGGUAGUCCACACAGUAAACGAUGAUUACUCGCUGUUUGCGAUAUACAGUAAGCGGCUAAGCGAAAGCAUUAAGUAAUCCACCUGGGGAGUACGCCGGCAACGGUGAAACUCAAAGGAAUUGACGGGGGCCCGCACAAGCGGAGGAACAUGUGGUUUAAUUCGAUGAUACGCGAGGAACCUUACCCGGGCUCGAACGGCUUUUGAAUGUCUGUGAAAGCAGGCAGCCAGCAAUGGCAGAAGUCGAGGUGCUGCAUGGUUGUCGUCAGCUCGUGCCGUGAGGUGUCGGCUUAAGUGCCAUAACGAGCGCAACCCUUAUCGUUAGUUACCAUCAGGUUAUGCUGGGGACUCUAGCGAGACUGCCACCGUAAGGUGUGAGGAAGGUGGGGAUGACGUCAAAUCAGCACGGCCCUUACGUCCGGGGCGACACACGUGUUACAAUGGGGGGGACAAAGGGCAGCUACCUGGCGACUGGAUGCUAAUCUCCAAACCCUCUCCCAGUUCGGAUCGAAGUCUGCAACUCGACUUCGUGAAGCUGGAUUCGCUAGUAAUCGCGCAUCAGCCAUGGCGCGGUGAAUACGUUCCCGGGCCUUGUACACACCGCCCGUCAAGCCAUGGAAGCCGGGGGUACCUGAAGUACGUAACCGUAAGGAGCGUCCUAGGGUAAAACUGGUAACUGGGGCUAAGUCGUAACAAGGUAGCCGUACCGGAAGGUGCGGCUG